GAUGAACGCUGGCGGCGUGCCUAAUACAUGCAAGUCGAGCGAACAGAUGAGGAGCUUGCUCCUCUAACGUUAGCGGCGGACGUGUGAGUAACACGUGGAUAACCUACCUAUAAGACUGGGAUAACUUAGGGAAACCGGAGCUAAUACCGGAUAAUAUAUUGAACCGCAUGGUUCAAUAGUGAAAGACGGUUUUGCUGUCACUUAUAGAUGGAUCCUCGCCGCAUUAGCUAGUUGGUAAGGUAACGGCUUACCAAGGCAACGAUGCGUAGCCGACCUGAGAGGGUGAUCGGCCACACUGGAACUGAGACACGGUCCAGACUCCUACGGGAGGCAGCAGUAGGGAAUCUUCCGCAAUGGGCGAAAGCCUGACGGAGCAACGCCGCGUGAGUGAUGAAGGUCUUCGGAUCGUAAAACUCUGUUAUUAGGGAAGAACAAAUGUGUAAGUAACUAUGCACGUCUUGACGGUACCUAAUCAGAAAGCCACGGCUAACUACGUG
rnacentral:rRNA from 1 species